AUACAGAGGGUGCAAGCGUUAAGCGGAAUUACUGGGCGUAAAGCGUACGUAGGCGGUUUGGUAAGUCAGAUGUGAAAGCCCUGAGCUUAACUUGGGAACUGCAUUUGAAACUGCCUGACUAGAGUGUGAUAGAGGAUAGUGGAAUUUCCGGUGUAGCGGUGAAAUGCGUAGAGAUCGGAAGGAACACCAGUGGCGAAGGCGGCUAUCUGGAUCAACACUGACGCUGAGGUACGAAAGCGUGGGGAGCAAACAGGAUUAGAAACCCCAGUAGUCC
rnacentral:rRNA from 1 species